GAUGAACGCUAGCGAUAGGCUUAACACAUGCAAGUCGAGGGGCAGCAUGGUCUUAGCUUGCUAAGACUGAUGGCGACCGGCGCACGGGUGCUUAACGCGUAUGCAACUUGCCUCACAGAGGUGGAUAACCCGUCGAAAGUCGGACUAAUACCGCGUACACUCCAUCUUGGGCAUCCAGGGUAGAGGAAAUGCAAUUCGCUGUGAGAUAGGCAUGCGUCCCAUUAGCUAGUUGGUGAGGUAACGGCUCACCAAGGCGACGAUAGGUAGGGGAACUGAGAGGUUGAACCCCCACAAUGGUAACGAGAACCGGACUAGACAGCUACGGGAGGAAGCAGUGAGUAAGAUUGGGCAAUGGGCGAUGGCCUGAACAAGCCAAGUGGGGUGAAGAAGGACUGGCUUAGGGAUGGAAAACUUCUUUUAUACGGGAAUAACAAGAGUAAAGUGUGACUCCCUGAAUGUACCGUAUGAAUAAGCAUCGGCUAACUUCGUG
rnacentral:rRNA from 1 species